rfam:Phytophthora infestans T30-4 supercont1.1 genomic scaffold, whole genome shotgun sequence.
AUAGAUUUCAGUUACGGAGAGGUUACUAACUGGUAAAUACGAACACAUAUUCUGUUCUAAUCAGUGUGAAAACUGGUUUUCGCCUUUUGGCGGACUUUUUCACUCGCAUUUUUGGGCAAUCGUCUGCGGCUAGCUUGCUAGCGGCGGACGAGCGGUCUCCGGGGGCGUACACCUUUCCCCCGCGAGGCCAACUACAG